GGAUCAUUCAUCACAACAGGAAGUUGAGCACGUAGAACAGCAGUGAAUCAUAGGCGACCGAUGGCAAACGAUGAUGCCGUGGAUCCUACGCAAUACCUGAGGAACAGAACACACUCUUGGCAUCGCAAAAGGAAUCUGGUUUAAAUCCUACCCUCAUAAGUUCGAGGUUUCGAUGUCGAUUGCCGAGUUUAUCGACAAUUUCGGAAGCUUGCACGUCAGUGAACAUGUCGAGGACACUGAAAUCUCUUGGCAGGGAGAAUUGAACAAGCGGUCAUCGUCUCAAAACUAUACUUCUAUGACCUUCAUGGAGAGCUAAAAUUCAAGUGAUGGCAGAUGCAGGUAGGUACAUACAUACAUAUAUA